AGAGUUUGAUCCUGGCUCAGAAUCAACGCUGGCGGCGUGCNUCAGACAUGCAAGUCGAACGUGAAAGUCCCCUUCGGGGGGCAAGUAGAGUGGCGCACGGGUGAGUAACACGUAGGUAAUCUACCUUCGGGUGGGGAAUAACAACCGGAAACGGUUGCUAAUACCGCAUAAUGCAGCGGCACCUAAUGGUGACAGUUGUUAAAGCGGGGGAUCGCAAGAUCUCGCGCCUGAAGAGGAGCCUGCGGCGGAUUAGCUAGUUGGUAGGGUAAUGGCCUACCAAGGCGACGAUCCGUAGCUGGCCUGAGAGGGCGGUCGGCCACACUGACACUGACAUACGGGCCAGACUCCUACGGGAGGCAGCAGUCGGGAAUUUUGGGCAAUGGGCGAAAGCCUGACCCAGCAACGCCGCGUGAAGGAUGAAAUCCUUCGGGAUGUAAACUUCGCAAGAACGGGAAGAAUAAGUUUGUGUUAAUACCACAAGCGAUGACGGUACUGUUUUA
rnacentral:rRNA from 1 species